rnacentral:piRNA from 1 species
UGUUUUGUGAGCUCUGUCCACAGAGAGUGC